UACGUAGGGGGCGAGCGUUGUCCGGAAUUAUUGGGCGUAAAGAGCGUGUAGGCGGUUCGGUAAGUCUGCCGUGAAAACCUGGGGCUCAACCCUGGGCGUGCGGUGGAUACUGCCGGGCUAGAGGGUGGUAGAGGCGAGUGGAAUUCCCGGUGUAGCGGUGAAAUGCGCAGAUAUCGGGAGGAACACCAGUGGCGAAGGCGACUUCCUGGCCUGUUCUUGACGCUGAGGCGCGAAAGCUAGGGGAGCAAACGGGG
rnacentral:rRNA from 1 species